AAUAAGACAUGAAUUGAUGCACAUUGCCCAGUGCUGCCGAAGACGAGUCCAAUCUCCAGCAUCAUCUCGGCAUGAUCAGACACCACAAGCAAAAGCAGUAGAGAUGGACCCUCUCUCUCCACCUGAGCAGAGUACAGCACAAAGGCAGGAGGGAAUAUGAAGAUGGUCUCAGUGACGUGUAUAGGAUCCUUUGUUGUCGACACAAGGACACAGUCUAAGGACCAGAUUAUGUGUACCCACAAUGCACUUUGCAGUAUUGUUAUUUGCUAAUUGGUACACUGAAUUAUGACAUCAUUCAUCUGUAAAUAUCAGUUCUCCCUUUGCUAAUACUGCUCCAUGCUGAAAACAUGUUCCGGCUUUGUUUGAAAUCAGGAUGUUUGUUUCUCAAGAACAUUUCUCUCAUAUUCUAAAGCCGAGCUAGCGAACACAGCUUUAGUGAAAAUACAAAAUUUUUGGCCAUUUUUGUUGAAUUCAAUGGCACUUUAUUUUCUUUAUUCUUUAUUUAGGAGACGCAGUGCAUUGUGACACUGCGAUGUCAAUGCGUUUGUUACCUGCUUGUUUUCAUGAGUGUGGCAACUAGCGGUGCUGAGGAUGCUACAGCACUCCUUGUUGAGCGCAUGGCAAAAUGCUUUGUAUGAGA